rnacentral:rRNA from 1 species
CCUACGGGAGGCAGCAGUGGGGAAUCUUGCGCAAUGGGCGAAAGCCUGACGCAGCAACGCCGCGUGCGGGAAGAAGGCUUUCGGGCUGUAAACCGCUUUCAGCAGGAACGAAAAUGACGGUACCUGCAGAAGAAGGAGCGGCCAACUAUGUGCCAGCAGCCGCGGUGAUACAUAGGCUUCAAGCGUUGUCCGGAUUUAUUGGGCGUAAAGAGUUCGUAGGCGGUCGAGUAAGUCGGGUGUGAAAAUUCUGGGCUCAACCCAGAGACGCCACCCGAUACUGCUUGACUUGAGUUCGAUAGGGGAGUGGGGAAUUCCUAGUGUAGCGGUGAAAUGCGCGGAUAUUAGGAGGAACACCGGUGGCGAAGGCGCCACUCUGGAUCGAUACUGACGCUGAGGAACGAAAGCAUGGGUAGCAAACAGGAUUAGAUACCCUGGUAGUCCAUGCCGUAAACGGUGGGCACUAGGUGUGGGUUUCUAUUAACGAAAUCCGCGCCGUCGCUAACGCAUUAAGUGCCCCGCCUGGGGAGUACGGUCGCAAGACUAAACUCAAAGGAUUGAACGGUCUGAGAGUGCGAGACGACGACGAGGGAGAGG